rnacentral:rRNA from 1 species
UACGUAGGGUGCAAGCGUUGUCCGGAUUUAUUGGGCGUAAAGAGCGUGUAGGCGGCCAUACAGGUCCGUUGUGAAAACUCGAGGCUUAACCUCGAGACGUCGAUGGAAACCGUAUGGCUAGAGUCCGGAAGAGGAGAGUGGAAUUCCUGGUGUAGCGGUGAAAUGCGCAGAUAUCAGGAAGAACACCGAUGGCGAAGGCAGUUCUCUGGGACGGUACUGACGCUGAGACGCGAAAGCGUGGGGAGCGAACAGG